rnacentral:rRNA from 1 species
UAACCUGCCCUGAUGAUUGGGACAACCCGAGGAAACUCGGGCUAAUACCAAAUGUGCCCUUCAGCCUCAAGGCUGCUGGGGAAAGGAAGCUUCGGCCUCCGCAUCGGGAUGGGCCCGCGGCCCAUUAGCUUGUUGGUGAGGUAAUGGCUCACCAAGGCAAUGAUGGGUAGCUGGUCUGAGAGGACGAUCAGCCACACUGGGAUUGAGAACGGCCCAG